UUUUAGCCCCGACAGAAGCGGCAUCCUUUUUCUCGCUUCUUUAGCGAGGAAAAGAUAUAAUGCAUGGCGGGAAUAGCU
rnacentral:sRNA from 1 species